rnacentral:lncRNA from 1 species
GAUCUUUGACAGCUUUAAAGGAAUUUGCACAAAGGAAGGAGACAGCUGCUGUUCUGAUGAAGGAUUUUUCUGAGCAGGCCUCCCAAGCUAGACGUGCCCCUUUGAGAUGCUGCCUCCACUUUUCAUCACAAGCAACAGGUGACUAAUCUGCAAUCAAAAACACUUAGCAGGAAUGGAUCAGUCGCUGUUAUGAAGUUUUGAGCUUAUAGCAUUUUUUCAUGCUGGAAUGUUAGGGCUGAGAAUGUGUUGGACACAGCGCAAUUGAGGACUUCCAGACACAGUGAAAUCCUUGCAAGAGGCAUCAGAGAGUGGACUGCCAGAGUUUUAGAAGCCCGACAGCUGUUAGCCUGCUGCAGCAUGAGGAAGAGUCUUCGGUCUCUCCAAUGCACAGGAAAGAGAAGACGAAUUGUAGUAAAUGUCCGCCUUCGAUACUGAGAAAAAGGCCACCCGUGAACCAAGCUGUGAGUGAAAAGCGAAAAGCAGAGAGAAGGGUUCGAUUUUGUGAGCCAGAGAUCACUGGAUAUGCACAUGACAGGCCAUCAGCUGGAUUGCCCUUGCUCCUGUGGAUUUCGCUUUGUUUAGUGCUGAUCCUGGCUGUGAGUCUGUACUACAACAGCGUGAAGCAGAAUUUCAAAGUCUUGGAAGAAUUUCAAUCCCAGCUCAUUAUCUUCCUUCUUCAGAUAAGACACAUUGCUUUGAAAUGCUGGACUUGGUUUAUGAGGCAAUAAUGGUGUCACUCGUGUGGAAUUGUGCAUGGCCCAAGACAAAGAUCUUAGCAGAUAACAUCUAAAUGUAUAUUGCAGCACAAGGCUCACAGCCCACUCAACCCAAACACCAGAGAAUGCGCCAGCCUUCCCUUUGAAGACUAAUAGAGCUGACCCUGUUGUACACUUACCUUUUCUUGUAGCCACUUGUCUUCCAUUUCUUUUAUUAUUAUUGUAUGUAUUACACUAACACCUAGAGGUUGCAACCAAAAUCAGAGCUCCAUUGUCCUAGGCAAUACAUAAAUAUCUGGUAAGAGAUAGUCUCUGCCUCAGAGAGUUUAUAAACUGAAGAAACAAGAAAAAGCAAAGGAACAGAAACACAGAUUAAUUGAUUCAAUCAAGGUCUCAUAGGUAGAUAAUACCAGGAACUAAACCCAGGUCAAUCAAGUCUCAGGUCACAAGACCAUCAUUCUGCUCUGGUUUUGCUACUGCAAUGUGUGCAAGCAUUAUUUCUUGUGCUCGAAGGCUCUGCCAUGCUGUAUUUUACACAUAUGUGAAAUGAUUGUGAGUAAAACCUUGGCAGAUGGUGUUCUCAUUUCCCCUCAAGCUUUCUCCUAUGUGGGCAAAAGAUAGCUCUUGGAAAUGUUUCACUGGGCUCCCAGGCAUGGAAGAGAGCAUGCAAACUCAUUUAAACAGGCUAUGGUUAUUUGCUUAAUAUCACACAUAACAGAAUUGAAUCCCAGGUUAAUUAUCAAGUCAGUAGUUUAAUCCUAUGGGUUCGAUUCAGUCCGUAAACCUCAUGAGCCAAGUUUACAUGGUUUGUGACAUCAACAAACUUUUUCAAUUUACUUAUAGCUUGUAUUCAGUCAGGGGGCCAUGUAUUCAUUCCAUGCAUGCUCAACUAUAGUUUAAGGUUUUGCAUAAUGCUACAAUUGAUGUUUAUGAAGGUGGCAAGGAUAAAGUUCCAUUGUUUUGGGAGGCUCCCCACUAAUAUCCUACAGUAAAGCAAUUUCUGAAGGGGAUCAUUUUAACAAUGAUAGUGCAAUAAAUGCUGAAUGCCUCUUGUGUGUGUCA